UCCCUGGUAGUAUAUCGGAUAGUACACGCGCCUGUCAAGUUGGGGUGAUGAACUCCGGAUGCAAACGCGCGAGAGCGGGGUUCGACUCCCCGCCAGGGAG